rnacentral:rRNA from 2 species
AACGUGAAGCCGCGAAGAGCUCAUUAUAACAGCCGUUGUUUCUUGGAUCUCCUUUCCACUUGGAUAACUGUGGUAAUUCUAGAGCUAAUACACGCAACUGAGCCCCGAACGCAAGUGACGGGCGCAUUUAUUAGAACAAAACCAAUCGGCCUCGUGCUGUCUGUUGGUGACUCUGAAUAACUGAGCAGAUCGCUCCGAUCCUGUAUCGGCGACGUAUCUUUCAAGUGUCUGUCCUAUCAACUUUCGAUGGUAGUUUAUGUGCCUACCAUGGUUGUAACGGGUAACGGAGAAUUAGGGUUCGACUCCGGAGAGGGAGCCUGAGAAACGGCUACCACUUCCAAGGAAGGCAGCAGGCGCGCAAAUUACCCAAUCUCGGUUCGAGGAGGUAGUGACGAAAAAUAACGAGGCAAGACUCUCAUGAGUUUUGCCAUCGGAAUGAGUACAAUCUAAACCCUUUAACGAGGACCUAGCGAAGGGCAAGUCUGGUGCCAGCAGCCGCGGUAAUUCCAGCUUCGCCAGUGUAUAUCUAUGCUGCUGC